UACAGAGGGUGCAAGCGUUAAUCGGAAUUACUGGGCGUAAAGCGUGCGCAGGCGGUUAUGUAAGACAGUUGUGAAAUCCCCGGGCUCAACCUGGGAACUGCAUCUGUGACUGCAUAGCUAGAGUACGGUAGAGGGGGAUGGAAUUCCGCGUGUAGCAGUGAAAUGCGUAGAUAUGCGGAGGAACACCGAUGGCGAAGGCAAUCCCCUGGACCUGUACUGACGCUCAUGCACGAAAGCGUGGGGAGCAAACAGG
rnacentral:rRNA from 1 species